rnacentral:rRNA from 1 species
GACGAACGCUGGCGGCGUGCUUAACACAUGCAAGUCGAACGGAAAGGCCUGCUUUCCCUUGUGGAUUGCGGGUACUCGAGUGGCGAACGGGUGAGUAACACGUGAGUGAUCUGCCCCCAACUUGGGUAUAAGCCUGGGAAACUGGGUCUAAUUCCCGAUAGGACUGCAGGGUGGUGCCUGUGGUGGAAAACGAUUUUCUAGUGGUUGGGGAUGAGCUCGCGGCCUAUCAGCUUGUUGGUGGGGUAAUGGCCUACCAAGGCGGCGACGGGUAGCCGGCCUGAGAGGGUGGACGGCCACAUUGGGACUGAGAUACGGCCCAGACUCCUACGGGAGGCAGCAGUGGGGAAUAUUGCACAAUGGGCGGAAGCCUGAUGCAGCGACGCCGAGUGGGGGAUGACGGCCUUCGGGUUGUAAACUCCUUUCGACCGCGAGGAAGCCACCUGGUUGGAAGGGUGGUGACGGUAGUGGUAGAAGAAGCACCGGCUAACUACGUG